GUGCUCACUUCAGCAGCACAUAUACUAAAAUUGGAACGACUCAGAGAAGAUUAGCAUGGUCUGUGUAAGGAUGACAUGCAAAUCCGUGAAGCAUUCCAUAUGUUA
ensembl:snRNA U6 U6 spliceosomal RNA